AUGAACGUGCAGCACAGACAGCGUUCCCUCCCAUCCCGACCCCUGCAGGCCUGCACCCCCUCCUUCCCUCUCUCCUCCUUUCUCCUCCCCAGCCACCAAUCCGCCUUCUCGUCUCGCUGCUUCGUCUCCUCCACCGCCUUGUCUCCGGCAGCCCUACCUCACAACACGUUUCUCGAGGAGCAACGCGAGCAAGGCCAGCAGGAGUGGAUCGAGGCUUCGCACGCUGGCUCCGUCAUUUGCUUCGCCACGUUUUGGAUUCACGCCGCCGUGUGUGAUGGUUCUAGAUCGGCGCAGGUCGUCGUCGCGGAAUAUCAGGGGCGGUGGGUUCUUCACAUCGAGGGUUGGCAAGCUGGGGAGGGUCAAGAGGCUGACAGAGCGUGUUUAGAGCAGCGAGGUCGGCUGUAG
rnacentral:rRNA from 1 species